rnacentral:rRNA from 1 species
AACGAACGCUGGCGGCAGGCCUAACACAUGCAAGUCGAACGGAUGUAGCAAUACAUUAGUGGCGCACGGGUGAGUAACGCGUGGGAACGUGCCCUUGGGUGCGGAAUAACACAGGGAAACUUGUGCUAAUACCGCAUAAUAUCUUCGGAUCAAAGAUUUAUCGCCGAAAGAUCGGCCCGCGUCUGAUUAGCUAGUUGGUGAGGUAACGGCUCACCAAGGCGACGAUCAGUAGCUGGUCUGAGAGGAUGAUCAGCCACAUUGGGACUGAGACACAGCCCAAACUCCUACGGGAGGCAGCAGUGGGGAAUAUUGGACAAUGGGCGCAAGCCUGAUCCAGCCAUGCCGCGUGAGUGAUGAAGGCCCUAGGGUUGUAAAGCUCUUUUGUGCGGGAAGAUAAUGACGGUACCGCAAGAAUAAGCCCCGGCUAACUUCGUG